AUGGUGAGACAGCUCGGCCGGGCGUUC
rnacentral:sRNA from 1 species